rnacentral:rRNA from 1 species
AACGAACGCUGGCGGCAGGCUUAACACAUGCAAGUCGAACGCCCCGCAAGGGGAGUGGCAGACGGGUGGGUAACGCGUGGGAACAUACCCUUUCCUGCGGAAUAGCUCCGGGAAACUGGAAUUAAUACCGCAUACGCCCUACGGGGGAAAGAUUUAUCGAGGAAGGAUUGGCCCGCGUUGGAUUAGCUAGUUGGUGGGGUAAAGGCCUACCAAGGCGACGAUCCAUAGCUGGUCUGAGAGGAUGAUCAGCCACAUUGGGACUGAGACACGGCCCAAACUCCUACGGGAGGCAGGAGUGGGGAAUAUUGGAAAAUGGGCGCAAGCAUGAUCCAGCCAUGCCGCGUGAGUGAUGAAGGCCUUAGGGUUGUAAAGCUCUUUCACCGAUGAAGAUAAUGACGGUAGUCGGAGAAGAAGCCCCGGCUAACUUCGUG